rnacentral:rRNA from 1 species
CCUACGGGUGGCAGCAGUGAGGAAUCUUGCUCAAUGGCGGAAACGCUGAUCCAGCCAAGUCGCGUGGAGGAAGAAGGAUCUAUGGUUUGUAAACUUCUGUUAUAGGGGAGUAAAGGUAUCCACGUGUGGAUAUUUGCAUGUACCCUAUGAAUAAGCAGCGACUAACUCCGUGCCAGCAGCCGCGGUAAUCCGGAGGAUGAGAGCGUUGUCCGGAUUUAUUGGGUGUAAAGGGUGCGUAGGAUGUUUUUUAAGUCAGUGGUGAAAGUUGGUGGCUCAACCAUAAAAUUGCCGUUGAAACUGGAAGACUAGAGUGUGGGUGAGGUAAGCGGAAUGCGUGGUGUAGCGGUGAAAUGCAUAGAUAUCACGCAGAACUCUGAUUGCGAAGGCAGCUUACUAGGCAAUAACUGACACUGAAGCACGAAAGCGAGGGGAGCAAACAGGAUUAGAUACCCCAGUAGUC